AAGAUAAACCUGAAACCCUUCUGUCACCUUUAAUAAAGUCAUGGCAUUUAUGCAAAGUUGCAUCUUGAUUGUGAUGCUGUAUUGCUUUGAAUGUAGAGGAGAGGACACAGUGGAACAGCCUGAGCAGGAGAUGGUUUACACAGAAAGAGGAUCAGUGACUCUCAGAUGUGGAUACAAAACAGCUAGUAGUGGAUCACCAGAUCUCUUCUGGUACAUACAAAGACCAAAUGAUUUCCCCAGAUACCUGCUGAGAAGAGAUACAUAUUCCUCUGGAGAUAAUGGCACUGAGUUCAAUGAGAGAUUUCACUCCAAACUAAACUUCUCCUCCAGCUCCAUUCCUCUGAGCAUCCAGGAUCUGCACGUGUCCGACUCUGCUGUGUACUACUGUGCUCUGAGGCCCACAGUGACAGCUGCACACUCAGCUCUCAUACAAAAACCACACACUGUUUUGAUCAUCCUUAUGAAAUUCAUGGCAGCAAAUAAUCUCACUUAA